UACGAAGGGGGCUAGCGUUGUUCGGAUUUACUGGGCGUAAAGCGCACGUAGGCGGAUCUUUAAGUCAGAGGUGAAAUCCCAAGGCUCAACCUUGGAACUGCCUUUGAUACUGGGGAUCUUGAGUCCGGGAGAGGUGAGUGGAACUGCGAGUGUAGAGGUGAAAUUCGUAGAUAUUCGCAAGAACACCAGUGGCGAAGGCGGCUCACUGGCCCGGUACUGACGCUGAGGUGCGAAAGCGUGGGGAGCAAACACGG
rnacentral:rRNA from 1 species